rnacentral:rRNA from 1 species
UAGGGAAUCUUGCGCAAUGGGCGAAAGCCUGACGCAGCAACGCCGCGUGGGGGAUGAAGGCCCUCGGGUUGUAAACCCCUUUCAGCAGGAACGAAUCUGACGGUGCCUGCAGAAGAAGGCCCGGCUAACUACGUGCCAGCAGCCGCGGUAACACGUAGGGGCCAAGCGUUGUCCGGAUUCAUUGGGCGUAAAGAGCUCGUAGGCGGUUCAGUUAGUCGGGUGUGAAAUCUCCGGGCUCAACUCGGAGGGGCCACCCGAUACUGCUGUGACUCGAGUCCGGUAGGGGAGUGGGGAAUUCCUGGUGUAGCGGUGAAAUGCGCAGAUAUCAGGAGGAACACCGGUGGCGAAGGCGCCACUCUGGGCCGGUACUGACGCUGAGGAGCGAAAGCGUGGGGAGCAAACAGG